AACGCACAUUGCGCCCCUUGGUAUUCCGAGGGGCAUGCCUGUUCGAGCGUCAUUUCACCAAUCAAGCCCCGCUUGGUAUUGGGUGCGCGGCCCGCCCCCCCGUGGGCGGGCCCGCCCGAAAUGCAUCGGCGAGGACACCGACCCCCGGCGUGUUAAGAAUCUCACAGUUCGAACGUCGGGAGCACCGGUGGCCCUCCGCCGCGAAACCUCUUCACACAGGUUGACCUCGGAUCAGGUAGGGAUACCCGCUGAACUUAA
rnacentral:misc_RNA from 1 species